rnacentral:rRNA from 1 species
GACGAACGCUGGCGGCGUGCUUAACACAUGCAAGUCGAACGGAAAGGCCCUGCUUUUGUGGGGUGCUCGAGUGGCGAACGGGUGAGUAACACGUGAGUAACCUGCCCUUGACUUUGGGAUAACUUCAGGAAACUGGGGCUAAUACCGGAUAGGAGCUCCUGCUGCAUGGUGGGGGUUGGAAAGUUUCGGCGGUUGGGGAUGGACUCGCGGCUUAUCAGCUUGUUGGUGGGGUAGUGGCUUACCAAGGCUUUGACGGGUAGCCGGCCUGAGAGGGUGACCGGCCACAUUGGGACUGAGAUACGGCCCAGACUCCUACGGGAGGCAGCAGUGGGGAAUAUUGCACAAUGGGCGGAAGCCUGAUGCAGCAACGCCGCGUGCGGGAUGACGGCCUUCGGGUUGUAAACCGCUUUCGCCUGUGACGAAGCAUGAGUGACGGUAAUGGGUAAAGAAGCACCGGCUAACUACGU